rnacentral:misc_RNA from 1 species
CACGGAGGGUGCAAACGUUGCUCGGAAUUAUUGGGCGUAAAGCGCACGUAGGCGGUUGCGUAAGUCGGAUGUGAAAGCCCUAGGCUCAACCAAGGAAGUGCAUUCGAAACUGCGUAACUUGAGUACAGGAGAGGGUCGCGGAAUUCCCGGUGUAGAGGUGAAAUUCGUAGAUAUCGGGAGGAACACCAGAGGCGAAGGCGGCGGCCUGGACUGAUACUGACGCUGAGGUGCGAAAGCGUGGGGAGCAAACAGG